GCCUAUUUAGUUUAAACAAAACAUUUUAUUUUCAAUAAAAAAAAUAAGAACUAGAUCUUUCUAGGCC
rnacentral:tRNA from 1 species